rnacentral:rRNA from 1 species
UACGUAGGGGGCAAGCGUUGUCCGGAUUUAUUGGGCGUAAAGAUCGUGUAGGCGGCCAAGUAAGUCUGCUGUGAAAACUCGAGGCUUAACCUCGAGCUGUCGGCGGAAACUAUUUGGCUAGAGUCCGGAAGAGGAGAAUGGAAUUCCCGGUGUAGCGGUGAAAUGCGCAGAUAUCGGGAAGAACACCCGUGGCGAAGGCGGUUCUCUGGGACGGUACUGACGCUGAGACGCGAAAGCGUGGGGAGCGAACAGG